UAUGAAAAUCCAUUUUUGAUGAUGGUUUGGACAAAGAAUUUUGCUAGGGACGAGGAAAGGGCAAAAAUAAAUUUUGUGAUCUAGUGCCUUGCGAUGUCAUCACAGGAAUUGCUUUGAAAAAUUUGCCGCAUGAGACAUAGUUUACUGUUUCAGAGGCUGCAAAAAGCUGGCUGCGACGUGCCAAUAAAUAUUAUACAAGGAGAGAAAAUCAACCAUGAACUAGGAUUGAAUGCCGAAUUAAUUAUAU